rnacentral:lncRNA from 1 species
CAACAUGUAUAAAUCUUUAUUAGCAUCCUAGUGAGACAAUGAGUAGAUUCCAGAGUUUACAGUCUUAAUUAAGCCUCUUAAGGCCAUUUUUCUAAACAAGUUGCAGAAGGGAACCUGUGUGCUAUGUGUCUGUGAGAUGCAUUAUCCAAUUUCAGUUGAUAUUCUGACACAAUUGUGGGGGUAGAGAUCCAAAAACUGAAGUCCUAGAUUUUAAUUAUGUCUGUUCAUGAGUAUUCUUAAUUCCUAUGUUCUAAUGCUCAUACGAAAAACCUGGUGAUGAGUCUAAAUCUCAGUACUGGAAGACAUUAGAAGUGAAAGGUAU